rnacentral:rRNA from 1 species
AUGAAACGGAGGGAGUACUGCUGUAAUACUAAUCCUAAUAGUAAUACUAUCUCUCCUUUGCUCUUUUGGCUGUUGUAGGGGAGGAAUGGCCGCGCAUUUCUCUUCUCUCGCGCCAUGAACAUCGCUGCGGGGGCCAAGGAGGGCAGGCAGCUCAUGACUGGGCUUCACACGGUGGUCGAUAUCCAUUGCCGUGAUUGCCUCGAGGUGCUUGGAUGGAAAUACGAGAGAGCCUACGAAAGAAUCCUACAAUACAAGGAAGGCGAGUUCAUAUUUGAAAAGGCCAAGAUCAUGCACGAGAAUUGCUAG